rnacentral:rRNA from 1 species
CGUCCUACGGGAGGCAGCAGUAGGGAAUCUUCCACAAUGGGCGAAAGCCUGAUGGAGCAACGCCGCGUGGGUGAAGAAGGUCUUCGGAUCGUAAAAUCCUGUUGUUAGAGAAGAAAGGGCGUGAGAGUAACUGUUCACGUCUCGACGGUAUCUAACCAGAAAGCCACGGCUAACUACGUGCCAGCAGCCGCGGUAAUACGUAGGUGGCAAGCGUUAUCCGGAUUUAUUGGGUGUACAGGGCGUGCAGCCGGAGAGACAAGUCAGAUGUGAAAUCA